GUGUAACGCAACGGAUAGCGUGUUAGACUUCUAAUCCGAAGGCCGUGGGUUCGAAUCCCGCCUGAAAUU